rnacentral:rRNA from 1 species
GACGUAGGGCGCGAGCGUUGUCCGGAUUUAUUGGGCGUAAAGAGCUCGUAGGCGGCUCGUUGCGUCGGCUGUGAAAACCCGCAGCUCAACUGUGGGCUUGCAGCUGAUACGGGCGGGCUGGGAUUCGGUAGGGGAGACUGGAAUUCCUGGUGUAGCGGUGAAAUGCGCAGAUAUCAGGAGGAACACCGGUGGCGAAGGCGGGACUCUGGGCCGAUACUGACGCUGAGGAGCGAAAGCGUGGGGAGCAAACAGG